AAUGAACGUUGGCGGCGUGGAUUAGGCAUGCAAGUCGUACGGGUCGGUGUAGCAAUACAACGGCAAGUGGCGAAAGGGAGAGUAACGCGUAGAUACCUACCCUCUGGUCGGGGAUACCGCGGCAUAACCGCAAGUAAUACCCGAUAAUAUCUCCGGAUCAAAGGUGUGAUUCCGCCGGAGGAGGGGUCUGCGUUUCAUCAGCUUGUUGGUGAGGUAACGGCUCACCAAGGCUAAGACGAAUACGGGGUGUGAGAGCAUGCCCCCGCUCACUGGGACUGAGACACUGCCCAGACACCUACGGGUGUCUGCAGUCGAGAAUCUUCGGCAAUGGGCGCAAGCCUGACCGAGCGACGCCGCGUGCGGGAUGAAGGCCUUCGGGUUGUAAACCGCUGUCGAGGGGGAUAAAGUGCAGGUGGGUUCUCCCAUUUGUUUGAUAGAUCCCUGGAGGAAGCAUGGGCUAAGUUCGUGCCAGCCGCCGCCGUAAUAC
rnacentral:rRNA from 1 species